rnacentral:rRNA from 1 species
UGAGGAAUAUUGGUCAAUGGGCUUACGCCUGAACCAGCCAAGUCGCGUGAGGGAAGACUGCCCUAUGGGUUGUAAACCUCUUUUGUCAGGGAGCAACGCCGGCUACGUGUAGCCGGACUGAGAGUACCUGAAGAAAAAGCAUCGGCUAACUCCGUGCCAGCAGCCGCGGUAAUACGGAGGAUGCGAGCGUUAUCCGGAUUUAUUGGGUUUAAAGGGUGCGUAGGCGGAAUGCCAAGUCAGCGGUAAAAUCGCGGGGCUCAACCUCGCUCCGCCGUUGAAACUGGCGUUCUUGAGUGGGCGAGGAGUAUGCGGAAUGCGUGGUGUAGCGGUGAAAUGCAUAGAUAUCACGCAGAACUCCGAUUGCGAAGGCAGCAUACCGGCGCCCGACUGACGCUGAGGCACGAAAGCGUGGGGAUCGAACAGG